AUUAGGGUGGCAGAGCCAGGUAACUGCAUAAGAUUUAAAACCUUAUUACCAGAGGUUCAAAUCCUCUUCCUAAUA
rnacentral:tRNA from 1 species